AUUGAAUGCUGGCGGCAGGCCUAACACAUGCAAGUCGAACGGUAACAGGAAGCAGCUUGCUGCUUUGCUGACGAGUGGCGGACGGGUGAGUAAUGUCUGGGAAACUGCCUGAUGGAGGGGGAUAACUACUGGAAACGGUAGCUAAUACCGCAUAACGUCGCAAGACCAAAGAGGGGGACCUUCGGGCCUCUUGCCAUCGGAUGUGCCCAGAUGGGAUUAGCUUGUUGGUGGGGUAACGGCUCACCAAGGCGACGAUCCCUAGCUGGUCUGAGAGGAUGACCAGCCACACUGGAACUGAGACACGGUCCAGACUCCUACGGGAGGCAGCAGUGGGGAAUAUUGCACAAUGGGCGCAAGCCUGAUGCAGCCAUGCCGCGUGUAUGAAGAAGGCCUUCGGGUUGUAAAGUACUUUCAGCGGGGAGGAAGGGAGUAAAGUUAAUACCUUUACUCAUUGACGUUACCCGCAGAAGAAGCACCGGCUAACUCCGUG
rnacentral:rRNA from 1 species